rnacentral:rRNA from 1 species
GACGAACGUUGGCGGCGUGCUUAAUACAUGCAAGUCAACUGAAGCAGUGGUAGCAAUAUCGCUGUGGAGGUGGCGCACGGGUGAGUAACACGUAGGUAAUCUGCCUUCAGGUCUGGCAUAACUCCGGGAAACCGGGGCUAAUAGCAGAUGAUGCAGCGGCUCGACAUCGAGACAGUAGUUAAAGCUAUGGCGCCUGAAGAUGAGCCUGCGUCUGAUUAGCUAGUUGGCGGGGUAACGGCCCACCAAGGCAACGAUCAGUAGCUGGUCUGAGAGGAUGAUCAGCCACACUGGAACUGAGACACGGUCCAGACUCCUACGGGAGGCAGCAGUAAGGAAUAUUGCUCAAUGGGAGAAAUCCUGAAGCAGCAACGCCGCGUGAGGGACGAAGGGCUUUUGCUUGUAAACCUCUGUAGUGAGAGAAAAAAAUCCCAAUCUUUGGGACAUGAUGGUAUCUCAAAAGUAAGCCCCGGCUAACUACGUG